rnacentral:rRNA from 1 species
GGUUUUAUUGUAGUUAUUAGAAAAUUUAUUUUUAGUAGUUUGAGUGAAAAUUAAUAGGUUCCUAAAGAGGAUAUAGUACUGAGAAGGAAGGUUUGGUUAUUUGUUUAGAAUAUUAGGUUUUUUAGUACCUUUUGUAUUAGGGUUGAUUUAUGUGGUUUUGCUUUUGUAGUUUCUCGAUGAGUAUCGGGCUAUUUUUCCUUGCGCAAUUCUCGUUGUAUAGAGCUGAAUAGGGGAUUAUAGGUAUGAAAUAUUAUUCAAGUUGCUUUUUAUCUGGUUCUUUAAGAAGUUUAAUAGUCGAUAGUGUUAUUAUUACAGUAAACAGGGAUUAGCUUGUUUAUUUUUUAUAUUGGAUUUUGGUUGAAUUUUGUUUGUUAAGUUGAUAGUGCUUGUUUUGAUGGAGUUAUUAUUGAGCAGGUUGUUUUUAUUAUUUUUUGGUUUUGUUUUUGUAUUAGGGUGGUGUUAUGAAUUUUUGAUGGUUUGUGAUAAUGAUUUUAUUAGUAAUAAUUUUUAUUGGGUUUAUUUUUAGUUUUCUGGUUUAUUGUGAUAGAUGGGUGAAUAUUUAAAUUUUGAUUAAUGAAUUAGGCAAUAUGAGUUUCUGACUGUUUAGCAAAGACAUUGUUUUUUGUUGAAGUAAAAAAUAAGUUCUGUCCACUGCUAUUGGGUGAAGGGCUGCAGUAUUUUGACUGUAUGAAGGUAGCAUAAUCAUUAGCUUCUUAAUUAGAAGCUGGUAUGAAGGUGAAACAGGGGUUUGCUGUAUUUUUUCUAUUUGUUGAAUUUUAUUUUUGUGUGAAAAAUCACGAUUGGAUUAAUGGGACAAGAAGACCCUAAUAAGUUUUAUUUUCUUCUAUAAUGCGUGUAUAGGCUUGGAUUUGUGCAAUUUAUUUUAGGGGGUUUGGCUGGGGCGGCAUUUUAUUUAACAUAGAUUAAUUUUUAACUUAGUAUGGCGGCAUUUAGACCUAGUUUGUUUAGAUUUGUGUAAAACUACUGUAGGGAUAACAGCGUGAUUUUUUUUGAGAGUUCUAAUUGACAAUAAA